CCCACCAGGGCAGGAGGACCAGGACGUCCUGUUCCCGCAGGCUCUGGCCAGAGAAUGACUGUGUACUUGGCCUUCCCGGUCAGAGGCUGCUGGAAGGGAGGGCAGAGCUCAGCCUGCCCAGGGCCUUGUGGGAGUGAGCUGUGCCCCUGGGCACCAGUACCCCUGACCUCAGACCUCAUGGAGCUUCUCAAAUGUGCUGCUGGCAAGGCAGAUGACUGUAUGUGGAGCUGGGCCAACAUCUUCAUAGACAGCCUCCUGGGGAGAGAAAGAGCACAGGCUCUGGAGUCUGACAGCAGCAAGACGGUGAUUAUCGUUCUGAUGCAGCCCUUCCUGAUGCCAGGCACUGAUCUUCGCACGUGUUGAUGCAUUGACUCCUCAGAACCACCCCAGGAGGCAGGUGCUAUCCUUAUUCCUAUUUUACAGAUGCGGACACGAAGGCUCAGAAAAGUGGUGUAGGUUGCCCAGGGUCACACAGUGAGUGGCCAAGCCUGGGCUGACCUCUUGACGUCUCCACUCUCUCCAGCACUCCAGCCACCUGGGACCACACCCACCUCUCCAAGUACAUGGACUCCCUCUCACCAGGGCCUUCCUGGGGCAUCCUUUUCACAGCACUCAGCCCAGGCAGUGUCAGCUUCCUUCAGCUUCUCCUCAGAUGGACUCCCCUCAGGGAGCUGCCCCCUACCUCCGCCUGCCCCCAGAACCCCUGCUCUCCCUCACUUGGCUGUGACAGCCUAGGCAUACAUCUGUCUUCACAAUCUUCUGUUGUCGUUGCUCUGAGACAGAGCCUCGCUCUAUCCCCCAGGCUGGAGUGCAGUGGCGCAACCUUGACUCACUGCAACCUCCACCUCCCGGGUGCAAGUGAUUCCUGAGUAGUGGGGAUUACAGGUGCCCACCACCACGCCUGGCUAAUUUUUGUAUUUUUAGUAGAGACGGGGUUUCACCAUGUUGGCCAGGCUGGUCUCAAACUCCUGACCUCAGGUGAUCCACCCGCGUCGGCCUCUUAAAGUGCUAGGAUUACAGGUGUAAGCCUGGCCUGUCUCCAUAAACUUAAAUGCAGGGGACGGGUCUGCAUUUUUUCUGGAACCAGGUGUCCAGCAGAAAGUGCGCACUGCUGGAAACUGUUUUGCGAAAUAAACAGACUCGUGGGUACGACUGUAAACCAGGUAGAGCCUUAAGCCUCAGAUCCAUCGCGUCCAGGAUUGAACCUAGGACAGGCAGUGAGUGGAGGGGAGGCCAUAAUCACUGAGUCUCUGGCCACUCUCUGGGGCCCUGAGUGCUGUUCCCUGGUCUGCUCAUAGAUGGAGGGAGCAUGGCCCUGUGGUCCAUCCAGGCUCCAAAUAAAAUCCCAGCUAGCUACCAGCCUGUCAGGGGAUCCUGGGCAAGUGACUUAAUCCUCUGGGUCUCAGUUUACCUAUCAGAAAAAUAGGUAAAGUGAUAGGAUUGUUGUGAGUAGUAAACGCAUUUUUGAAGUUAUUAUUUAUUUUGGUCACCCCAGUUGUAGUGCAGUAGCUUGAUCAUAGCUCACUGCAGCCUCCCAGCUCCUGGGCUCAAGUGAUCCUCCUGCCUAAGCCUCCAAAAUAGCUGGGUCUACAGGUGCACACCACCAUGCCUGGCUAAUUUUUAAUUUUUUUGUAGAGAUGAGAUCUCACUCUGCUGCUCAGUCUGGUCUCAAACUCCUAGACUUAGGUGAUCUUUCUGCCUCCGCCUCCCAAGGUGCUGAUAUUAUAGGUGUGAGCCACUGCCGCUGGCCUAAAUAAUUUUUGUCUGUGUGUGUUUUUGAGACAGGGCCUCACUCUGUCACCCAGGCUGGAGUGCAAUGGUGAGAUCUCAGCUCACUGCAGCCUCAGUCUCCAGGGCUCAAGCAAUCCUCCCACCUCCACCUCUUGACUAGCUGGCACCAUAGGUACAUGCCACCACAAGUGGCAAUUUUUUAAUUUUUUGUAGGGAUGGCGGGGGGAGUCUUGCUAUGUUGCCCAGGCUGGUCUUGAACUCCUGGCCACAGGCGAUUCUCCCACCUUGCCUCCCAAAGCACUGGAAUGAGCCUGAGCCACUGCACCUGGCCUAAAUGAGUUAACGCGUAGUUAAUAGCUGGCUCAUGCCAAGUGCUUUAUCAGUGCUAGUGGAUACUAUUGUUUCCUCCUCAUCGUUAUUAAUGGUAGGCAAGGCAGAUUAUGUAGGAUCCUAAGUAGGAAGUUUGGUCUUUAUCUUGGGCAGCAAUGGGCAGAUUCAAAAGACUGCUCUGAGUAGGUUUCAAUGUCAGCGAGAGAUGUGAGAGGAAGCACGAGGGCAGUGCUAACCGUGGUGGCGUCAGCACGUGAGCUGCCGGGCUCUGCCCUACACCUCACCUGUGUGGUUGACUUUGCUCCCAUACACAGCUCCCAUCUAACAGAAGUCUCUGUUUGCCCCCUUUUCAGAUGGGAAAACCCAGGCUCAACACUCUGUCACCUGCCCUAGGGCACACAGCCAGGGAGAGGCCAAGCCUGUGAUGUUUCCCAUUGCUGCUGUAACAGACUAUCCCAAACUUAACAUGAUGCCCAUUCAUGGCCUUCCUGAAAGUCAGAAAGCCGAAGUGGGUCUUCCCAGGGGAAGAUCAAGGCUCAGGGAAGCAUGAAGUUCCUUCUGGAGGCUUCAGGGCAGAGUCCGUGCCUUGUCUUUUCCAGUGCCUGAGGUCAAGGGCACUCGCUGGCUGGCACGGCUCCCACCUCUUCACCCACUGCCACAUCUCUGCCCCACCCCUCUCAUAACACCCUGGUGACUGCAGUGGGCCUACUGGGUAAGCCAGGCUCAUCUUCCCAUGUCAAAGCCCUGAAUUCAAUCACACCUACAAAGUCUCUUUUGGCAUGUGUGGUCACACAUGCACAGGCUCCGGGGACUAGGACAUGGGCACCUUUGGGGGCCAUCAUUCUGUCUGCUGCACACCUGGAGUCCAGCUCCAAUCCUGCCUUUGUGGCUUUCCCUGGGAGUGCCCGGGCUGAGGGUGAACAGAGGAGGCCCUGUGUGGUGGCGAGAGAGUGGGUGGCCUGGUCUCCGGGGCAGGCCUGGGUCUUUAUGCGAGGAGGCUGCAAGGCUGGGAGAGGAGGCCCAGGGGUGAGUGACAACCACCAGGUCAGAACAAGGGGACUGAAGGGCCUAGGAUGAAGCUCCUGCUGACCAGGGCCCAAGAAAAAGCAGACCUGGUGGCCAGAGAGACUGGCUUUCUGGAAGAAGCUGGAAAUUCUGGGUUUUAUAUGAAAUCACCAAUUUUUAAAUGUUGGCAAAUGAUUCAAAAUGACAAAGGAAACUCACGCAGUGCAGGUCAUACAGAACUCGUCUGAAGCCAGGUGAGGCCUGCAGGCAGCAAGCUGGUGGCCAUCAGCCCACCAGAGAGAGAGUGGAAGGCCAGUCCCUGCUGAGGGCAGUGAUUGUCUGGAACAUUCGUGGAAGGGUCACCUGAGGAGCUCCCUGUGCCAGCUCUCCAGGGUGGGGGAAGCCUGGGCAGGGUGUUCAGAAAGGGGACGGCAGGUCUCCCCGAGGGGAAGGCCCAGAGCAAGCAGGGGUGUAAGCCAGGCUCAGCUCAGCCCCAGUUCCAGCUCUGCCUUCAGGGCUGUGAGGCCUUGGGGAAGUUACCUGGCCUCUCUGGGCCUCCAUCUGCUCUCACUGGAGGUUGACCACAGAAUACCCAGCUUCAUGCAUUCACUGAACAAAUGCUUGCUCUAUGCCAGGCCCUGAGGACUUGGGAAUGUGCAAAGCAGAGCAAGCCCCUGCCUUCAGGGUAGGUGGACAGGCGGUGGACGCGGAGCUGAGCCUGGGCGUCCCGAGGAAGGAGUCAGGAGCAGUCACUUCUGCUGACGGCCGCUUCCACAGCCUCAUCCUGAAAGCAGUUGUGGUUUGUAACUUUUGUUCAUUCACUGAGCACCAACUGAAUGCUAUCCUCAGAACCUAUAGGGUUGGUGUUAUUAUGGCCUCAUUUUACAGGUGGAGAAACUGAGGCCAGGCACACAGGUCAGGCAGCCCAGAAGAGGCAGAGGUGGGAGGGACCACUCACCUCUGCGUCUUCUCCCGGGCCCUCUGCCUUAGCCCUGAGCUAUUUAGCAGAGGCCCUGGAGAAGCUCCAAGAGCCGUCAUUUAGGGCCUAUGUCGGGGGAAUGUAGAGGAAUGUCUUCUGUGUAUACUAAGCUUUGUCCUGAAUUUACCUCCUCCCAACUUCAAGCAGACCCGGUGGCUGACCUUGGCCACUGUAUGGCCCUUGAUGCCCUUAGAGAUUUCAAACUGAUCUCUUUCAUCUUUCUGGACAUGAGGACUGGGCAGGUUUUUUUUUUUUUUUCUUUUUUGUCUCUCCUCCUGAGGCCGCCCUCAGACUCCCUAAGCCAUUUUAUGAUCAUCAUGUCCAAUCACGAGCACCCGCUAUGUCUGCGCCAGGCACCUGAUGGGCACAAGCUCAGUUAACCUUCAGCAAUCCCGCGAGCCCAGUGCUAGGGCUGAUGAGAAACUGAAGCUCGACAGGGCCAAGUCACACAACCAUAAACGAAUGGGUUCAAGGCUACACCAUUACCCACGGUGCACAUGGCUUCUCUCCACCAACCACUGAGGGGUGGGGAGUGGGUCUCCUCUGCUCUGAGAACCUCACCCUCCUUCUGCUUCAUUCAUUGCCAGGACUGAUCCCUGAGCAUUUCGCUUUUCCAGAAGUCCCCAGUGUGGGGGCUUCUUCCUGAGAUCAGGGGGACUGGGUUCCUAAUGCAUUCAGAGGCCCCUUUCCAAGCCCCCUUUCUUGUCUCCAAACCGACCCGAUUGUUUUGUGCGGGGUUCCACAGUGGGCAAGUUCUCUCCAUCUUUUUUCCCUGUGGUUGGAAGGCGAGAAGUGAAUUUACAGUGUGAGCCGAGGGCGGCGUGCAGGGGAGGGCUCUGGGGUCUCAGAUUCUAAAUGCCAAGGAAAGGCCUGGUCAGGAGGGUGGAGUUGCCCAGUUAGAACUCGGCUGGUUCUUAUCAGCUCUGGAGCUCUGCACUGGGCAGGCGCUGGAAUCAAAGGAGGCCAGGGCUGUUUAUUUACUUUCUCCCCUCCUUUUUGGCAAAAGGAGAUCAAAGGUAAAAGCAAAUUCUCCGCUCUGCACCCUCCUUUCUUCUUUUCUUCCUUUUUUUCUUUCCUCCCUUAGAAGCUGGAGAACCAAAAGCCAUAGAUGUGAGGGAGAGGGUUUUUGUCAUCACCACUGUUUACCUGGCACUGACUCUUCACUGGGCCUCGGGCUAAGUAUUUUGCAGAAUGGCACCAAUCUCUGCAACUAGGAUGAUGAGCGACAGCUCUUAUUAUCCCCAUGUGGUAGAGGAGGAAACUGAGGCACUGAGAGGGGAAGUCACUCUUCAGAGGUUGCUCAAGCCUCUCUGGCUCUUUCCUUCUUCUUUCUCUUUCUUCCUUUCUUUCUUUCUUUCUUUCUUUCUUUCUUUCUUUCUUUCUUUCUUUCUUUCUUUCUUUCUUUUCUUUCUUUCUUCUUUCUCUCUCUCUUUCUUCUUUUUUUAGAGGCAGGGUCUCACUCUGUCACCCAGGCUGGUCUUGAACUCGUGGCCUCAGGCAUCCCUCUCACCUUAGCCUCCAAAAGCAUUGGAAUUACAUGCAUAAGUCACCGAGCUCGGCCCGGGUCCAUGCUAUUAAUCAUGCCUCAAGCCACAGUGCUCCUCUAAAUAUCUAUUUCCACUCAGAAAAAUGAAAAUAGCGCAAAGGUGGCUAACAGCAGAAAUCCAACUUCAAAGCUUCAAAAACUUCAAAAGCUUCCCUGAGUCCUUCUGUUGUGUAGUGAGUUCAGAGGCUACAAACACGCAAGCGAGACACACUGAUGAUUGAAGGCAGUCAGGUGGGAGGCAGCAGGGAGUGGCGGGGAUUGCAGUGCACUGAGUGUCCCCAAGUUGCCACUCAGCAUCAACCCAUCGCUGCCUUGCAAAAAUGAGGGCCCAGUGUGGUCAGGACUUUUGGACAAGCCAGAACACCAGAUGUUUCAUGUGAAAUCUCUAGAUUUGUAGUAGAAGAUGGGAGUUCAUUUUUAGUUUUUGCUGAUAGUGGGCUCUGCUGGCGUUCUGGCUCACAUAUUCCAUUUCCCAGUGAGUUGAAAUAUUAUCUUUGUCCUGAUCCUUUCCACCGUUCUUUCAUUUUAUAUUUUUUUCUUCAUGAACUCAAAGAUUGCUUUAUUCAACUAAAAAAACCCCCCGUGGGUCGUUACUUUAAAUUGCAUUAAGCUUAUGUAUGUUGGCAGAAUUGUCAUCUGAAGGAUGUGAAAUCUUCCCAUCCAAUUAUUCUCAUCUUAUUUGGUCCCCUUUGGAAGGACUUGUUUUUUUUUUUUUUUUUUUUUUUUAGUUUUCUUACAAAAUCUGAUUUUUAAAAUAAUGACAAAAUUCCAAGCUGGUUGAACCACAUGGGCCAAGCAGCACCUCCUGGGAGUUGUGUUUGGCCCAGAGGAUCCCUGUUGCCCCUGAGAUUCAGGGCAGCACGCCCCACGGGGGAGACUGAACACGCCAUCACUCAAAGAUAACCCUGUCCCAGGCGGGGAGAUCUCCAGCGCCAGCGAACUCAGGGCAGGCUGGGCUGGGAAACUCUGGGAUGUCCGCUGCCUGACCCACACUGUGGGAAGCCAGGGUGCCCACUUCCUUCACACUCGGCCAGAUAAGGCCGCGGAGGCCAUGCCUUCCUGCUGAGGCUCCUGCCAGCUCAUUUUUGACCAGCGCUUAAAACAACAAUUAAAAAUAACCCACAUGGUGUGCUUUGCUUUUUAAAAAGCAAAGCAAAUUUUUAAUUUUUAUUUUUGAGACAAGGUCUAGUGUCACAAGGCUGGAGUGCAGUGGCAUGAUUAUGGCCCGCUGCAGCCUCGACCUCCUGCGUUCAAGCAAUCCUUCCACUUCAGCCUCCAGAGCAGCUGGAACUACAGGCAGGUACCACCAUGCCCCACUAAUACUUUAAUUUUUUUUUUUUAAUAGAGACAGGUUCUCACUAUGUUGCCCAGGUGGGCAUUAAACUCCUAGACUCAAGCUAUCCUCCCGCCUCAGCCUCCCAAAGUGCUGGGAUUCCAGGCGUGAGCCACCACACCCAGUGGGCAAAGUAAAUUUUUUAAAAAUAAGAAAACACCAUCCAUUGGUCCAGGAAUAUUUAUUGAGAUCCACUAGUGCCAGGGACUAGGCAAGGCUCUGGGGACAGAGUGAAGUUCCUGCUUUCGUAGAUCUGAAACUCUAGCGGGGAACACAGGUGGCAAGCCCAGAAACAGAUGAAAAACUACGGUGCAUUCCAGCGACGGCCAGGACAUAAAGAGAUAAAAUAAGGUGAGUGGAAUAAGAGGGACUGGAGGGCCACCUUAGGUAAGAGUUUCGGGAGGGCCUCUUGGCAGAGGUGACAUUUUCCCGAGACAGGAGUGAUGAAAAAGAGACAGCUGUGGGACUCGGAUCUCAGCGGUCACUCUGAUACCAGGAAACCACUGUGACUUUUGGGCAUGUAACCCACCAAACGUUUUUGCUUAAUUAUAUUUUUAUAUUUUGUUAUUUAUUUGUUUAAUUGAUAUUUUACAUAUUUGUAUUUUCUAAAAACCGAAAGCAGCCAUGCAGUGUUUUGUAACUGCCGAUUUCUCCUACUUGAAGCCUCAGUUUCCCCGUCUGCCAACUGGAGAUGUUCUCCGUAGCCACCCUGUGAAGGCAAAACACAGGCCAAUACGAGCAUUUACUAAGAAAUUGACCUAGGGAACACAGUUGAUCCAAAGAUGAGCAAUGAUUGGUAUAUUUUAAUUAUCGUUUUAUUAUUGAUUUUAUUAGUCCCAAGAGGUGGAGAUCGGCAUUUCCAUUUUGCAGGUGAGAUUUUUCAGGCUCAGAAAGUCACACAUCAAAGGCAGAGAUGCGAGAAGUCGGAUGGUGGGCAGGACGGCAUUCCUCUGACCCCCAGCCUCCAUACAGUGAAACCUCAACCAGAUAGAGCCCCUUUUUCUUGGGAGAGGAAGUCGAGGCUGAAACCAGCAACUUCUUUUUGGUCAUUUUUUCCCCUUUCUGCAGUGUUUGUUUUUGUGAACAUCGUACUUAUCUGAUGCCACAGGUUUUGGGAACCUAAACCACAGACAUAAAUACAUUGUGCUGUUCUUUGAAGGCUUGUGCAGUGAGAUAAGUGAGUCUGGCGAUGGGGGAUGCAGCCUACAUGGACACAGGGCUUUUUUUUUUCAGAACUGAAAACGUCACUGUUUGUUCUCAGGUUCAGAGAAGUCAGCGUCUUUGGCAGGAGCUGGGCCACCGUCGCCUAGACCACGCUGGGGUGCAAAGUGCUGACAUCCUCCCCAGCACUGUCCUCAACAGCCGGGAGGCAGGCACAGGGGAAAACCCACCAGCAACACCAGCUCCGCAGCGUCCACGCCUGCCGAGGAUGCUGCAGAAAAGGACAGAAGACCAGAUGAAGAAUAUUAAAGGCGCUGAGAAACGAAGCACUUGCUAAUCUCUCCUUCGUCAAUCAAGAAACCAGCCUCCAUCCAGCCUGGAAAUGCAUCCUGAGUCUUCCACACCUGCCCUGCAAGUAUCACCUCACCACGAGGACUGCUGGCUCUGCCCUCACAAUAGAGCUUCUCCCUUACCAAAUUCUUAGCACGGCCUUCGAGGCUCUCUGUGAUCUGCACCCACCAACUCUCCGCCCACCCCCUUCCCAUCCCUGCACCGCACUCUUCCCUGGCUCUCUCUGCACCAGCGCACCAGGCUCAUCCCACUGCAGGGCGUUUGCAUUGGUUGAGCCCUUUAUUCAGAUGCCUUUCCUUCCCAGCAGGCCCAGGACUAGGGUGGGGCAAGUGAGGUUCCCAGAAUGAAGCUUUCAGGAGGCUGUCACUCUCAAAUGCCAACCUUCGUGUGGCUGAGCCUGAGAGCAAGCACCUCCUUCUAUCCUGCAUGUGCGGCACCUCCCGAGGCUCCCCUCCCGGAUCUGGCUCUUCUCAUGAUGGAGGUCUGUGCUCGAACAACCCCUCCUCAUAGAUGGACUUCCCUUACUGUCUUUGCCACAAGCAGCCCUGCUCCUCUCAAACCUACCACACUGUCUUAUUUUCUUCAUUGCCCUAACUUCAAAAUUUGUGUUUUGUGCCCAUCUCUGCCCACAGAGACUGUGUGUCUGCCUCAUUCUCAAAUAUUUCCCCACUGCCCAGCACAGGGCCAGCAUUCAGGAGACAGUCAAUAUCCGGAGUGAGUGAAUGAAUGAAUGAAUGAAUGGGCUCGUCAGUGUCAGAGCCAAGGUCUGAACCCAGGUUUCCCUGCUUCCAAAGUCAGCCACCCCGGCCAUGACUGAAGGCGAGAGUGGGGUCUGAUCACCCAGGGGACCUGGACUGCUGUCCCUGACUGUCCUGCUGGGACCCCUGCAUCCCAAGGACAGGUUUCCUGAGGAAGCUUCUAGGCAGGGAGGGGUUUGGUCCCAGUCACCAGGGGCCGCUCUGAGCCUUGGGCCUUCGGUGGGGCCAGCUGUGGCCCCCCUUCUCCGUUCUAGUUUUUAUUUUUAGCGUUGAGUUUUUGGGCACAGUAGACUCUCCUUAGGAAAAGUCCAACGAGAGGACAAGGGAGGCGGUUUUGAAAUCCGGUGGGAAAGUAGGUCAGGCUGGGUUGCUGGCCGGACUCCAGACGAUAAGGCCUGUGUGGAAGUUUAAUAACGUGAGCGGCUAUAUCCAUGACAUAAUUCAUAACUGAGAGGAAACAGCAAUUAAGGGGCAAUUGUGCAACACGAGACAAGCCUCCUUCACAGCUCAUAAAAGCAGGAGGAGGAAGAGACGACGCUGUCAUUCCCGGGCUGCUGGGGGCCCAGCUGGCGGCCUGUGGGGUCUGGGGAUAAGUCGGUCUGUACACUGGGGGUUUGCAUUCAUUCUUCCUCAUCCCCUCAGGACCCAGGGAACUGGGGGGAUGUAGAAGGCAGAGAGAGCACUUACUAUGUGCCUAGCUCGCUCAGGGCUGGGGUGCGAGCUGUGAAAACGCCGGGUGUUUUGCUGCAGCUGGAAGUUUGGACGCAGCUGCACUGUUUCGGCGUUGCCCUGUCAAAAUGGAAAAUUGCUUUGAUUAUCAAGUGAACCGUACACCAGACACCGAGCUCUUAGUUCCUCUCUCCUGCUCCCACCCUUCAGUGACUGUGGACUUCCCUUCUUUCUUUUUCUUCCUUCCUUCCUUCCCUCCCUCCGUUCCUUCCCUUCCUCCCUCCCUCCGUUCCAUCCCUUCCUCCCUUUCUCCCUCCCUCCCUUCCUUCCUUUCUUCCUUUCUUUCCUUUUGCCAGGGUUUCGCUCUGUCAACCCAGGCUGGAAUGUAGUGGUGUGAUCUCGGCUCACUACAAUCUCCACCUCCUGGAUUCAAUCGAUUCUCCUGCCUCAGCCUCCUGAAGAGCUGGGAUUACAGGUGUCCACCACCACACCUGGCUAAUUUUUAUAUUUUUAGUAGAGACAGGGUUUCUUCAUCUUGGCCAGGCUGGUCUCAAACGCCUGACCUUGUGAUCCACCCACCUCCGCCGCCCAAAGUGCUGGAAUUACAGGUGUGAGCCGCCGCGCCCAGCCUACUGUAUGUGUACUUUGAAUUUCUCUUUUAUUCGUUUUUCUGGAUGGUGGUUCCACAAGCACCAUUUGCUUUUAUCAUCAGUUUUUAAAAAGCUACUAAAUCCACAUGGCCCCUUCUGUCUUCCUUGAACCAGCCAGGUGUGUGCUCAGCGCCCUUGCCCUUGCCGUGGCCUCUGCUGGGGGCUUGCUCUUCCCCUAGAGAUCCACGUGGCUCGGCCUUCACCUCCUUCAGGUCUUCACCGAAAUGCUGCUUCCAUGAAGCCUCAGCUGACCAAUCUUUUUAAAACCGCAAACGCACCUGGCGUUCUGGAUCUACUGUUCCUGCUUUAUUUUUAUCUACAGCCCUUACCACCAGUUAACCCUCUCCACAGGCUGUUCACUUAUUUUGUCAUCUGCUUGUUCUCACCAGUGCCACCAGCAAAGAAAUUUUUGUCCAUCUUGUUCCCAGCACCGGAAACUGUGUCUGGGACAUAGUAAGUGCUCAGUGAAUGUUGGUGAGCGAAUGAAUGAAUGUUUGCCAUUGAAAUUGACAGCCCAUGAGAUUAUAAUAUGUUGACUUUGUUAUUAUAAAGCUGACCAUUUGCUGGUUUGCUUUGGGGGCAGCCUGAGAAUGACUAUAGGCCAAGCCUUCUUGGAUGCUGCUGGUGGGAACAGAAGUUGUGGUGACCAGGGCUAGCUCUGGGUGUUUGCAGCUGACACCUGUUCUGAUUGGUCAGGGAUCAACUUGGAUAUCACUGCUCCCUCUGUCCUUUCUAAAGAUCUCCUUGGCCACUUCUGUCAAGAUUUUAAAUGUAUCCACCAGUUGACCCCACCUGUUCAUGAACAUUCUAGUACAAAGGAGCAAAGCUCUGUAUGCGGAAGGGGUUUCUUGGCUGAGCGCAGUGUCUCACACCUGUAAUCCCAGCACUUUGGGAGGCCCAAGUGGAUGGAUCACCUGAGUUCAGAAGUUCAAGACCAGCCUGGCCAACAAGGCAAAACCCUGUCUCAACUAAAAAAAAAAAUACAAAAAUUAGCCAGGCGUGGUGGCACGUGCCUGUAAUCCCAACUACUCAGGAGGCUGAGGCAGGAGAAUCUCUUGAACCUGGGCUUCUAAGGUUGCAGCGAGCCAAGAUUACAUCAGUGCACUCCAGCCUGGGCAACAGAGCAAGACUCCAUCUCAAAAAUUUUAAGAAAGACCAUCUUGGCUAACAUGGUGAAACCAUGUCUCUUCUAAAAUUACAAAAUAUUAGCGGGGCGUGGUGGCACACACCUGUAAUCCCAUCUACUCGAGACGCUGAGGUAGGUGAAUCACUUGAACCUGGGAGAUGGAGGUUGCAGUGAGCUGAAAUCGUGCCACUAUACUCCAGCCUGGGCGACAAAGCAAGACUCCAUCUCAAAAAUAAAUAAAUAAAUUUAAAAAAAUUUUUAAAGGGGGGGUUUCUUGCAGAACAUUUUACAGCAUGGCAGGCGCAUGUGCUCACACACACACCCACAGUCAAGGAUACACACAUCCCCUCCCCCUACACACACUCUCAUACAAUUAACCAUAUACAUUUACUCUGUCAUUCACACACCCAGGCACACACGAGUACAUGCUCAGCAAUGUGUUGGCACACGCAGCCACGCACAUUGCCCCUGCCCGGCUCCCACACACAUGGCACACAGAUGCCUACUCACACAUGCUCAGCCACAUACAUGCACACACACACACACAUACACGCAUGUGCACAAGCUCACUUGCCUUACUAAAAUCUUACAUUCACAUGCCAGACACACAGUCACCUCCAUACACAUGCACCCCACACAGCUGACCCCCUGCUUCCAGCCACACCUGGACACACACCUUGUCCCUCUUCCACGUGCCGCCGCCCAGUGCACGCAUCUCCUGGCUGCGUUUGGAGGAGUGGGGACAGACGCCAGGUCAGUGCAUGCUCUGACCCCAGGGCCCCUGCCCUGCUCCACUCUGACCUGCUUGAUGUGGGCAAACAGGACCAGGGCUAGCUCCAAAACCCCUGGGGUUUGUGAUGCCCACGUCAGCCCUGACUGUGCUGCCUCAGGGCAUGUCUGCCUGGCUCAUCUGUCCCCAGGCACCUGGCCACUUCCCAGCAGUGGGUGGACAGGCCCUGCUGACAUCAGGUGGUUUCUGGGCCUGCCUGGCACCCAGGAGAGAGGAAGGCAGCAAUCUGUCCCAGCCACGGGGAGCCCAGCAAGGAGCCCAGGAAGGGCCCCAGACCUUGGCGAACUACAGCCCCUGCAGCUGCAUCUGACAGGGCCAGGAGCUGGACUGCCCACCCCAUCACCAGCUGGGAUACCAUGACCUGGGCCGGGCAGCAAUUCAAAAGGAACUGGGCUCUCUGAGUUACCCUCAAGGUGGUGUGCUCCUCCCCUUCCCGACCCUGAGUAGAACAGCAGCACACACCAUGCACGUGCACCACUCUUUCUCCAUGAGUGACUCAAUCAGGCCUCAUGCAGCCUAUGGGUGGGUGCUGGUAUCAUCCUUGCUUUACAAAUUCAGAAACUGAGGCACAGAGAGGUGAGGGGAAUGGCCCAGGAGCAGGACCUGACGCCCAGCGAUCUGGCUCCAGGCUGCUGCGCUCCAUCACCCCCACCCUCUCCCAGCUGCUUCGUGUUAUUUUGGUUUCAGGGUUGUUUUUCCUUUGGUUGUCUCUGUUUUGUUCUGUCUGUCUCUGUGAGCCUCCAAUACCCAUGGCCCUGUGCACAUCUCAUCUCCAUGAAUCCUUGCAACCACCUCACAAGCAGGACACCACUAUUAGCCCCGUUCAACAGGUGAGGAAACUGAGGGCAGACAGCAAGGACGAGGCAGAGCCAGAGCCAGGUUUGUAUCCGGUUCCAAGGACUCUUUCUAGAUUGUCUGCUCAUCUUGUUUAUGUGGCAGAGACCUCUGAUGGACCAGAGGUGAGGAAAAGUCACCCCAAACUUAGUUUCAGCUCUCUGUUGGCAUCAAGAGAGGGGACUAAGGGGGCACUUCGUGCCAUAGAAUAGUCAGAGAAAUAAGAACACACUUAUGAUGACAAUGACAAACUUUUUUGUUGCUUUUUAAAAAUAAUUGGGGGCCAGGCACAGUGUGGCUCACGCCUGUAAUCCCAGCAAUUUGGGAGGCUGAAGUCAGAGGAUCACUUGAGCCCAGGAGUUUGAGACCCCAUCUUUACAAAAAGGAGAAAACUGGCUGGGUGUGGUGAUCUACGCCUGUGUUUCCAGCUACUCAGGAGGCUGAGGUGGGAGGAUCACCUGAGCCCGGAAAGGUCAAGGUUGCAGUGAGCUGUGAUUGAGCCAUUCCAUUCCAGCCUGGGCAACAGAGUGAGACCUUGUCUCAAAAAAACAAUUAAACAAAAAUAACAUUUUUGAAAAGUGGGAUGCGAUGAACAUGCAGUGAAAUGUACAGGUCUUAUGUCAAUUUCAUGAAUUUCAACGAAUCAACCACCCAAAACAACAUUUGAAACAUACCCAAAAGCAAGUUCCCUAUGUCCCUGACCACACAACUCCCUGUCCCUGGCCCAGUCGAGGGAGCCACUGAUCUGCUUGCAGUCACCACAGUUUAGUUGUGUUUCAUUUAUAAUUUCAAACACCAGGAGUGUUCUUUUUGGUCUCAACACAAUGCCUGCAAGAUUCAUUGCUUUGUUGCAAAUAUCAGGCACUUGCUCCUUUUUGUGGCUGAGUCGUGUUCCAUUUCAGGGAGGACAUCUGGGUUUCCAGCUGUCAGGAACAUUUGUGCACACUAAGCACCCCUCGGGGCUUGUCACAGUCACAAUCCAGUGUCCUUUGCAGGCGUUGUGUCUGUUGAUCCUCACCACUGGUAGAUAUUGUCUCCAUUUUGGAGUCAGAGGAAGUGUGGGUGCAGGGAAGUGGGGUGAGAAACCCAAAAACACAUAGCUCACAGCAGCCAAGGCAAGAUGUGAACCUUGAGCAAGGGACAGAUGGGGUCCCAAAGGCGAGGCAGGUGGCCCCAGACCCUGGGGGCACAUGUUUGGUGGAAACCGAGCUGGAACACCUCUUGAGUUUCUGGUCCUGUUCUAAAAACUUUUCAUGGACCAACUCAUUCAGUCCUCCCAACAACUGUGUUAUCCCAUUUCACAACAGUGGAAACUGAGGCACACAAAACAGGAGUCACAUCUCCAGGAUCACACACUUAGUGAAGGUAGAGCCCGAUUGGACCCGCAUGGUUGGGCAUAGCUGUGCUUCUUUCUCUUUUUUGAGACAGAGUUUUGCUCUUGUUGCCCAGGUUGCAGUGCAAUGGCGCAAUCUCAGUUCACCACAACCUCCGCCUCCUGGGUUCAAGCUAUUCUCCUGCCUCAGCCUCCUGAGUAGCUGGGAUUACAGGCAUGCGCUACCAUGCCCAACUUUUUUUUUAUUUAUAUUUUUAAUAGAGAAAGGGUGUCUCCAUUUUGGUCAGGCUGGUCUUGAACUCCUCACCUCAGGAUCCACCUGCCCCGGCUUCCCAAAAUGCUAGGAUUACAGUUGUAAGCCAACGCACCCGGUCCGUGGUGCUUCUCUUAACUACAUGGCUGUGCUGCCUCACUAGCCCCUCUUCUAGUUUGUCCCGUGGUGAGGUAGGCUCAGGUCCUAUCUGCUUACCCAACUGGGAGCCCCCCAAGUCUGAUCAGUUCAGGAUCCAAGGGCCUGGUGCUGGGUGAGCAGGGAGGAGGCAAAAGGGAGAAGGCCAAGAACAAGACUCUAGAUUCAGCCUUAGAUCCUAGCUGUGCCAUUUUUAGUCUGUGUGACCUUGGCCCAGUCACUUAACCUCUCUGAACCUCCACUUCCUGUAAAAUUAAAUCAGAUGGCAAUAACCUCAUGAGGAUUGGGCGAGCUGGGCAUGGAAGUAACAGAACUGAUAUUUACCUGUGCGUUGCUACCUGCCCAAGGCCUCUCAGUGCUCAACCUAGGCUCAUAGCAACCUGGCAAAGCAGAUGCUGUUUAAUCUCCAUUUUACAGACAAAGAAACUGAGUCUCUAAAUACUGUCUCCAAGUUAAAACGCUCUAAACAUA